rnacentral:lncRNA from 1 species
CUUAUUUCGUUAGAGUACAAGGCCAUUUAUAUCAUAUACUGAUAUGCUUACUUUAAAAUUAAACAUUUUAACUAUAUUUAUGGACUAAAAGACAGAAGAAAAAAAAUUAGUGGCGCGAUCGCAAGCAACAGUCACAUGACUAGCUAAACUAUUUUAGGAAAUCUGUUCACAUAACAGAUUUAAUUCUUUGAUAUCUUUUCACAUUUUAAUAAUACCAUAGAAAAAAAAAAGGGUCGAAAGAUACCAGAGGAACAUUCAAACGAAAAAAGCGAAAAAAAAUCGACAACACCAUGACUAAAAAAGAAAAAGACAAACACAUAAGCAAUCGUACACAAAACACAACAUAGAAAACUCAAGACUAAGCAACAAGAUACUCCG